ensembl:lncRNA
CAAGAAUUGCAGAGGAUGACUACUCUUCUGCCCAGGCCGUUCAUCUGGAUGCCAGGACCUAAAGCAUGAAAAAUAUCUCAAAAGACCUAUGGUGAAUUCUUCAUGGAUUACUGGCCUGCAAGAAUUAUCAAGUUUUGAUGGAAUUUCUUUGAAGGAAGCAAAAUAUACCCUCCAUGAAAACUACCUCCUGACAAAGAUUUUGAGUGCUGCACCUCAUGUUCACAAGACAACAGCAGUGAUGAAUGCUUGAAGAUUUACUUUUUAGAAGUGGGAACAUUUACACACCCACAAGUCAAGUCAGG